UGCUGGUGAACUAGGGUCUGCAGAGCGCCCAGAUAGCACAGUGCAUCCAGCGGAAUGGAAUAGUUGUGUGGCUUCUCUCGCUAUUAUAUUACCCCCUCCAAUUGUUAAUAAAAGCGCCAAGAAUUUUAGUUUUUCCUUCAGUUGCAUUCAAAAUGAACAAACUUUUUGAGACGUCAGUGGCUGCCACAAUUAUGGGAUCUUCAUGGACAUCCUUAACUGAGGGGAUGACUGUACAGACACAAGGACCAGGAUUGUGUGUUCCUGUAAAACAAAUGAAUGUGUUACUUAGCACAUUCCUGCCUUUUACGUCUUGUAUAAUGACUUAUGGUCAUUUAAAUAAAUCCUAUGCAUCCCAUUCCAUCAGACAUUAAA